AUAGAAUUCCUAAACUAAUUAAUUAAUUUUCCAAUUUAACUUUUUUCUAAUCGAAAGACUAAAUAAAUAAAAGUCAAACUUCAAAUACCACCUCUAAGAUUUCACACUUUCUAACUUUAGUAUCUCGUGGUUUAAAGUGUAUAAAUUUAGUACCUUGUGGUUUCAUUUCACAUUUUUCGUCAGCUCGUUCGUUAAUAUUUUGCUAAAUUAUAUUAAAAAAACUUCAGAUAUCUUACCUAUGUUUAUCGAAUAUUCACUUUAGUAUCUUUUAGUUUUAACUUUAUCACUAAUUUAAUGAAAAAAAUAGUGAAAGAAAUAAUAAAAAGAAAAAAAUAAAACUACGGACACUAAAUCGAUACAUUUUAUACUAUAGGAUACCAAAGCGAAAAAAUAAAAAUCAUAGGAGUGGUAUUUGAAGUUUUUUUUAUAAAUAAAUGUAUUAGAUCCUUUUAUGUUAC
rnacentral:lncRNA from 1 species